GUUACAAUCCACGUUUGUUACUUAUAUUGAUGUGGAUGGAAGCAGAUUGCAGAAAGCAUUGCCAUGCAGACUUUUAGUGUGUAGCCUAAAUCAUCCAACUUGGCCAGGUUUUUGAUCUGGGAUCGAAAUUGAAGAAAAUCCUUCUGGAAACAUCGAAUUGAAGAACUUUCUGGAAACCAACGGUUUCUUUGAACCUGAGAUGGCGAGCCACCCAUGCGAGUGAAAUCUUCUGGAGCGAGAGUGCAAACUCUUGACGAUAAGUGAACUGUAUGCUAGAGCAAAUCAUACAGAGAAAGAAGUGAUUGAUCAUUUAUUUUAUUUUGUUUACAUUUCGAAUCUUUUGUAAUUGAAUGGACAUUGAUGGUUUUGAAGACUGGUUAGUUAAUGUAAUCUUUUCUUAUUUUCCUUUUGAAUAUUGUAUAUUCUUUUGUGUACCUUUAAGGGAAAAGGUACAGUAGUGUGGUUUAAACAUAUACAAGGUUCAAUUGAAUAACAAAGCUAAACCAAACAAUCUUAACUUGAAUUAAGAUUAAAAAAAUAAAUAGUAUAUCUAAGUUUAAAAUUAAGUUCUUUAAUUAAUAACUGAUAAGUAAACUAAAAGUAUAAGGUUUAAUAUAAUUCUAAAUUAGGAAAACCAUGGUUAAUAAAUAGGUAUCAAAUUAAGAAAUUCCAAGUCAAUUUACAUUCAUAACCUAACAGAUAAGUAGCAGGAUAUAAAAGAAUAACCACAUUUACUUCAAACAAAUUCAUUGGAUUUAUUAUUUUUCAUACCUUUUGCAAAGUAUUAAGCUGUACUAGAUUUCAGAGUAUCUGUUUUGCUACAGAAAAUAAAUCUUUAUAAUCAUC